ensembl:miRNA sha-mir-23a sha-mir-23a
CUCCUUUCUAGGUCUGAGCUUCCUCUAUGGUCCUCGACCCAGCACCCCUGAGCCUUGGCCGGCUGGGGUUCCUGGGGAUGGGAUUUGAUUACUGCCACAAAUCACAUUGCCAGGGAUUUCCAACUGACCACUGGCCCUGCUGCUGAAGCU